rnacentral:sRNA from 1 species
UUCACCAACCCCGCCGUAAAACGGACGGGGAUUGACCGAACCAAUUCGGUUGACGCAAGAGGUGAAUAGCCCGCAGAGCCGUUAGAUGUUACAGACCUCCGAAUACUUCCCUAGUUCGGAUUCCCUCUAAACCUGAUUGGUUCAGGUGUUGUUAAAGACAAGUCAUAUUUCUAACGGUGGGCAAAGGGACUAUGAACUUAACUCUUGAG